UUUCUUCAGAUUAUUUUCAACUAAAACCAUAUUUUUAAAUUAUAAGGUAAACUUAUCAAUUUCAAAAUAUUAUUUCAUAUAUCCUCCAUUUUCCAUCCAUUAUGCGAGAUUUCUCUUGUGUUUUAUUCCUCCUUAAAGUUUUUGAGGACAAACAGAAAGACCAAAAUUAUUUAUGGCCCCGAAUGUCCGAUUACGGGGACAUAAAGAUGUGUUAAUCCAAGUGUGGCAGACAGACUGACUUCCCUUCUGUCUCUCCAGUAAUGGGUUAAUAAUUUGGCAUCAAAGUCACAAUGUCAACGUGAUGGGGAAUCAUCCUCCCAGACAGCAAAUAUUUCUGUAGACUUUAAAAGUUGGGCUCGAGAAGAAGGAUGACGCAAUACGCUAAAAUUAAUCAGCCAAUGGGAUUUCUUGUUUCAGAUGAAAGUUUGGUAAGGGAAUGAACAGAAAGUAAAAAAUGGCGUCCGUUGACGAAAAGAUAUGUGAAAAAUAUCAAAUCGAUCAUUUGACUGAAAACCAAAAGCUUUCGAUAUCAUGUAUCAGAGAAGGAAAAGAUGUUUUUAUUGGGACUAAAACCGGCAGUGGUAAAUCGCUAUCUUACGAAGUUGUUCCAUUAUUUUGGACAAUUUGUUUAAUUUAUUAAAACAUAGUCGACAAACGUACUUCGACAAUCCGUCAUUUUCAUUCGGCUCAUACCCCGAACCCUCGUCUAAUUGUUUCUUCAAGCAAAACGAACUCCCGAAAAUCAAUCGACGGUAUCUGUCUUGUACUAAUCGGUCACAAAUUCUACACCAUAAUGCCGUCGCCAUGCGUGUUUACUGUUUAGUUUUGUUUUCGAUCGACUAUAAAAGCCGUUGUCUGAUUGGUUUGCAGCUUCAGGCUGCAAACCAAUCAUAUUGCUUCUUCUCGAGCCCAACUUUUAAAUAGCGACUGAUGUCAAGGGUUAGUGUGAGGUAACGAAUCAAUAACCCUUGACUUGUGAAGAUGUACAGCCUGGGGUUUUAAUAUUUUCAGAAAAUUUUGAAUUUGUCAUGCCUUUACAAUUUCAUGAAAAAACAUAUUAAAGGGAGAUUGAAACCAUUCAGAAUGUUCGAGAAUCCAAAAGCAUUUAUUCAAAAAGAAAUAUGAUUACGACUACUACCGUAGGCCUGAUGCAUGACAUGUUGUCAUUUCCUGAUUAUUCACUAUGGUAACCACGUCUACUGGAAUUAAGAAUUCAUGAUGUGACUGUGCUAUCACAGCUCCAUACUGUGAAGUUAUAAAGAUUUACAGAAAAACAAAACAAAAAAAUUCAAUUAGUUUUAUUUUAGAUUAAUAUAAAACAUAAAAAAAAAUCACAUAUGUACAUCAGACUAAGAAAAGCAAUGAAAAAACAAUUAAAAGUGGACCUCGCUAUAACCAAACCAUUGCUUAAUUAGUAGCUAUAUCUGUGAAUAAAAAAACCGAUGGACACUGGUGUGCAUACACAGCAUCAUCCAAACAAUCUUGCAUGUCACUGAAUGAGAAUUUUUUUCCGACUUAUCAUUGCUGUAUAAUUUCAAUGCACCCUUGAAUAUAAAAAUCUGGAUGUCUUUUUAUUUUGUUGAAGUUUGGCAAAUUCUUGGGAUUGAAUGAAUCCUAAAUAUUGACCGUGAUAAUUAAAUAAAUGUAAUGAUCAACCUAUAGCACAGUUUACGAUAACAUUGCAGGUGUCUUUGAACUGAGCACAAAGCCCAGUUGUUAUGAUGGCAUCACGGCCUUUGCUUCUUCUAGAAUAACUUUACCAGCC